UCAAGCGACUAAGUGUAUGUGGUGGAUGCCUUGGCGAUUACAGGCGAUGAAGGACGUCGCAGCCUGCGAAAAGCCGUGGGGAGCUGGCAAGCGAGCACUGAUCCACGGAUGUCCGAAUGAGGGAACUCACCCGCAAGGGUAUCUUGAAGUGAAUACAUAGCUUCAAGAGGCGAACGCAGCGAACUGAAACAUCUAAGUAGCUGCAGGAAAAGAAAUCAACCGAGAUUCUGAAAGUAGCGGCGAGCGAAAUUGGAAGAGCCUGCAAGUGAUAUUGAAUUCGAUACUGGAACGGUCUGGAAAGUCCGGCUACAGAGGGUGACAGCCCCGUACGGGAAAUUGGGUUCAAGGUACUGAGCUUGCGAGAAGUAGAGCGGGACACGUGAAAUCCUGCUCGAAGAUGGGGGGACCAUCCUCCAAGGCUAAAUACUCGUAAUCGACCGAUAGCGAACCAGUACUGUGAAGGAAAGGCGAAAAGAACCCCGGGAGGGGAGUGAAAUAGAUCCUGAAACCGCAUACAUACAAACAGUAGGAGCCCGCAAGGGUGACUGCGUACCUUUUGCAUAAUGGGUCAGCGACUUACGUUCAAUGGCAAGCUUAACCGAGUAGGGGAGGCGCAGCGAAAGCGAGUCCGAACAGGGCGACAUGAGUCGUUGGGCGUAGACCCGAAACCAGAUGAUCUAUCCAUGGCCAGGCUGAAGGUGUGGUAACACACACUGGAGGGCCGAACCGACUAGUGUUGCAAAAUUAGCGGAUGAGCUGUGGAUAGGGGUGAAAGGCUAAACAAAUCUGGAGAUAGCUGGUUCUCCCCGAAAACUAUUGAGGUAGUGCCUCGUGUAUGGCUCCAGGGGGUAGAGCACUGUUAUGGCUAGGGGGACAUGGCGUCUUACCAAACCAUGGCAAACUCCGAAUACUUGGAAGUCUGAGCACGGGAGACAGAGCACCGGGUGCUAACGUCCGGACUCAAAAGGGAAACAACCCAGACCGCCGGCUAAGGUCCCUAAUAUUGACUAAGUGGAAAACGAAGUGGGAAGGCUAAGACAGUCAGGAAGUUGGCUUAGAAGCAGCCAUCCUUCAAAGAAAGCGUAAUAGCUCACUGAUCGAGUCUUCCUGCGCGGAAGAUGUAACGGGGCUAAGUCAAUAACCGAAGCCGCGGAUUCGCAGCAAUGCGAGUGGUAGGGGAGCGUUCUGUAAGCCUGCGAAGGCGGAUCCGUGAGGACCGCUGGAGGUAUCAGAAGUGCGAAUGCUGACAUGAGUAACGUUAAAGCGGGUGAAAAGCCCGCUCGCCGCAAGCCCAAGGUUUCCUGCUCUACGUUCAUCGGAGCAGGGUGAGUCGGCCCCUAAGGUCAGGCUGAGAAGCGUAGCUGAUGGGAAGCUGGUUAAUAUUCCAGCACCGAUUUCAAGUGCGAAGGGGGGACGGAGUCCUGAAGGUCAUCCGGGUGUUGGACAUCCCGGUUUACGAGCGUAGGAGGUUGACAGGCAAAUCCGUCAACGGAUCUCCAAGGCGAAGGAUCGAGGUUGAGAGAUCAACUGAAGUGACUGAAUGGGCUUCCAGGAAAAGCCUCUAAGCAUCAGCUUGGAAUUGACCGUACCGCAAACCGACACUGGUGGGCGAGCUGAAUAUGCUCAGGCGCUUGAGAGAACUCAGGAGAAGGAACUCGGCAAAUUGACACCGUAACUUCGGGAUAAGGUGUGCCUUUGUAGUGUGAAGGGAGAAACACCCCGAGCAUGAAGAGGCCUCAGAGAAUCGGUGGCUGCAACUGUUUACUAAAAACACAGCACUCUGCAAAGAUGAAAGUCGACGUAUAGGGUGUGAUGCCUGCCCGGUGCUGGAAGAUUAAUUGAUGGGGUGCAAGCUCCUGAUCGAAGUCCCAGUAAACGGCGGCCGUAACUAUAACGGUCCUAAGGUAGCGAAAUUCCUUGUCGGGU
rnacentral:rRNA from 1 species